CCAUACCCUAACUUGUCUUCUUGAUUCUUGAUUCUUCUGUUUCCGUCUGUUCCUCGGGACUGGCGCGUCGAUGAGGGUGAGAAUGUGCCCAUGAGGUGCUCUUCUUGGUCCAAUCGAUGUGCCUAUUUGGGUGACGCACGGAUGCAUACCGUCGAGAUCUGCUUGUCAUCUUGAUUCGUUAUUAUUCUGUUGCCGUCUCAUGUUUCUUGUUUCUCAUCUUGAUUCGUUAUUAUUCUGUUGCACGGAUGGAGGAACGUGUCGAUGGGGGUGGCAAUGUGCCCCUGUGGACGGUGGCUGAAGCUCUCCCCAAGACUUCUUGGGUAAAAUCUUGUGGGUACUGAAUCUUGGACCCUUAGCUUGUAUUCUUGAUUCCUGAUUCUUUCGUCGCCGUCCCUUCUUGUUUCUUGGGUGGAACAUGUCAAUUGGUGUGGGACUGUGCCUCUCCGACUCGUGGCAGAAGCCACCCGUGACUUCUUCGGUCGAUGUAUGGGAACUGGAUCUUGGACCCAUAGAUGCAUUCCACAUAGAUCUGCUUCCACACGCAUCGCAACAAGCCCUAGUUUCUGUGGCACCUCUUGGAAGAAGACUUCGUCGCUGGUUUUUUAAGAUCAACUUGCCAUAUCACCGUGCUUUUUACUUGAUGAGGACGCAGACAGACUGCUCGCCAUUAAACGAUAUUUGUAACAGCGCGAUAAUUUCACCCGACCAUCGCGAGCUUUUGACACACCCAAGGAAUUAUGUGUUGUAAAAAGCUGUUUAGUUGUUUCUUUAUUUCCUUCCUGAACAUCAGAUUUAGGUGAAUUUUCGGAAAAAGCUUUUUUUUCUUUUUAA